UACGUAGGGAGCAAGCGUUGUUCGGAUUUACUGGGCGUAAAGGGCGCGUAGGCGGCGCGACAAGUCACUUGUGAAAUCUCCGGGCUUAACUCGGAACGGUCAAGUGAUACUGUCGGACUAGAGUACAGAAGGGGCAACUGGAAUUCUCGGUGUAGCGGUGAAAUGCGUAGAUAUCGAGAGGAACACCUGCGGCGAAGGCGGGUUGCUGGGCUGAUACUGACGCUGGAGGCGCGGAAAGCCCAGGGGGAGCGAACGGGG
rnacentral:rRNA from 1 species